rnacentral:lncRNA from 1 species
ACAGAUACACAGCAAAGAGCAAAACCACAAGUUUGUUUGUGUUUCUUCUGGUUUUUAUUCACAAGCCGAUCCUGAUCCUCCUUACGAAACCCGUCCUCAUUAUUAAAAGAAGUGCUCGAAACCCACAUCAAGGAUUGAAAUGGGGUAUCUCGAAACCAGGAAAAAUGAAGUUGCUGGAGGAGGAAGAGGAGGAGGAGAAAUGGUCUCUAGAGUCUUGGUUGAUGAGCCUUUUUAGGCUUUUGGUUGAUGGUCAAAUGCACACGAGUGAAGAAACAAGGAAAAAUAAAGUAUUAUGCAAAGUUUAA